rnacentral:rRNA from 1 species
GACAGUCUCAGUUCGGAUUGAAGGCUGAAAUUCGCCUUCCAUGAAGCCGGAAUUGCUAGCAAUGGCAGGUCAGCAUACUGCCGUGAAUACGUUCCCGGGCCUUGUACACACCGCCCGUCACACCAUGAGAGUUGGGGAUACCCGAAGCCUGUGAGCUAACUUUUAGAGGCAGCAGUCGAAGGUAGAAUCAAUGAUUGGGGUGAAGUCGUAACAAGGUAGC